AUGCUUGACACACGCGGCAUGGAUUUCUCUGCUGUCAACCUCCCACCUGGCACCAACAAUACACAAGUUGCCAUUCUGGAGGCAGGGAAAGGAAGGAUUGGGAUGUUUAUUAAUCAGGAUAUGACAAAUGAAGUCAGUUAUAAUCUGUUGCAAAAUGAUGGAGAUGGUGCAAUGUUUCAGUGGCUGUCAGAGGCAAUGUUCAAUUUACCCGAAAAUAAUCGCUAUUUGCUCUUGGGCAUAGCCGGGGGAUACUUACUCCUACAAGGGCUUCCAGGAGACCGGCAUUCAUCCUCUUUGGCCGAAAAGGAAGACCCGAACGUUUUUUCGCUGAAUCUGAAGACUUUACAGCUGGAGUGGUUCCUUGCAUCAAAGUACAACAACUUCGAUGCUGAUUUGUUUGCCGGUUUCCCACCAUCCUUGUCUCUGCCAACUCUUUGA
rnacentral:rRNA from 1 species